rnacentral:rRNA from 1 species
AUGCAUCUCAGCCAUGCAAAACUCAUCUGGGACCGACUCUCUGACGUCUAUGAAGGUCAUAGAUCUGAACGUGAUCCCUGGUUUGAGGAUUUCAUUGUAUCGCGCAAGGCUUUGACUUUUGAGCCAGAUUCAUCAUCCUCUGAACCAUGCCUUAUGGCAAAAGGUGACAAGGUAAAUAAAUGCUACCUAUCUAAGUCCAGUGAUGAUGAAUUUGGACCCAGCUAUACCAAACUUGAUUCCCUUGCCACUAAACAACAAAGAGCUUUGGAAAAAGUUCAAUACAUGCUGGAUAAGAGUGAUGAUAUGUUGGAUGAAGAAAUGGAUCAGUCGAAAGCUUUGGCUAAAAGUCUUCAGGGACUUCAGACUAAGUUUGAUAAUCUCCAAAGUCAUCAUAACACCCUCUUAUCUGAUCAUGAGAAGGUUUCUUAUGAAUUUCUUCAAAGAAAGCAAGAUCUUGAAAAGCUAAGGGUGAGUUAUGAAGAUCUUCAGAAGGAGCGUGAUUCAUUACUUGCUCAACAAAUCAGCGCUGCUCAGGAAGAAUUCAUUCCUCCAUUUUUGAAGUGCCUUGAACGUGAAUCUGCUAAUUCUUCACCUGAAUGUUCAAAUGCUUCUACUGCUACAAAUUCUUCACCUGUCUCUACUAUCACUAAUUCCUCAUCUGAGGAUAUUGCUAGUAUAAAUGACAAUGCAGGGCUGAAGGAAUUAUAUAUGACAGGCAUGUACAAAAGCCUCAAAGGGCAUUGGGCUCUUUGUGAUGUGCUUAAAAACAGAUCCUCAACAGGAACCCUAGGAAAGAGGGUAUUGCCUUUGAGAGGAAACUCAAUGCUGAUGGGACUUACUGGAAGCCUGAGCAAUAUCGCAAAACCUCAUGGGUUGCUGCAAAGGGACCUCCAGUAG